rnacentral:rRNA from 1 species
GACGAACGCUGGCGGCGUGCUUAACACAUGCAAGUCGAACGAAGUGGCGAACGGGUGAGGAAUACGUGGGGAACCUGCCCUCCUUUUUGGGAUAAGCCUUGGAAACCGGGUCAAAAAACGAAUAAAGGGGGAGGGGCUCGCGGCCUAUACGCUUGUUGGUGGGGUGAUGGCCUACCGAGGCGGGGACGGGUAGCCGGCCUGAGAGGGUGACCUGCCACAGUGGGACUGAGAUACGGCCCAGACUCCUACGGGAGGCAGCAGUGGGGGAUAUUGCACAAUGCGUGAAGUCCUGAUGCAGCUACGCCGCGUGGGGGAUGAAGGCUUUCGGGUUGUAACCCUCUUUCGCUCUCGAACGGGUAGGUGGAGAAGAAGCGCCGGCUAACUACGUGCCAGCAGCCGCGGUAAUUC